AGAGUUUGAUCAUGGCUCAGAUUGAACGCUGGCGGCGUGCCUAACACAUGCAAGUCGAGCGGUAACAGGUGUAGCAAUACAUGCUGACGAGCGGCGGACGGGUGAGUAACGCUUGGGAAUCUGCCUAUCAGUGGGGGACAACCCGGGGAAACUCGGGCUAAUACCGCAUACGAUCUACGGAUGAAAGCCGGGGACCGCAAGGCCUGGCGCUGAUAGAUGAGCCCAAGUCGGAUUAGCUAGUUGGUAGGGUAACGGCCUACCAAGGCGACGAUCCGUAACUGGUCUGAGAGGACGACCAGUCACACCGGAACUGAGACACGGUCCGGACUCCUACGGGAGGCAGCAGUGGGGAAUAUUGGACAAUGGGGGCAACCCUGAUCCAGCGACGCCGCGUGGGUGAAGAAGGCCUGCGGGUUGUAAAGCCCUUUCGGUGGGGAAGAAAAGUCUCGGCCUAAUACGCUGGGACCUUGACGUAACCCACUAAAGAAGCACCGGCUAACUCUGUGCCAGCAGCCGCGGUAAUACAGAGGGUGCGAGCGUUAAUCGGAAUUACUGGGCGUAAAGCGCGCGUAGGCGGCUUUUCAAGCCGGAUGUGAAAUCCCCGGGCUUAACCUGGGAACUGCAUUCGGGACUGUCUAGCUAGAGUAUGGGAGAGGGAAGUGGAAUUUCAGGUGUAGCGGUGAAAUGCGUAGAUAUCUGAAGGAACAUCAGUGGCGAAAGCGACUUCCUGGACCAAUACUGACGCUCAUGUGCGAAAGCGUGGGGAGCAAACAGGAUUAGAUACCCCGGUAGUCC
rnacentral:rRNA from 1 species